AACUAGAUAGCAUAAUGGUAAUGUAAAGGACUGCAAAUCCUUUAAUAACGGUUCAAAUCCGUUUCUAGCUA
rnacentral:tRNA from 1 species